rfam:Dipodomys ordii contig_59936, whole genome shotgun sequence.
GGGAAGGUAGCCCAGUGGUAGAGUGCUUGCCUUGCAUGCAUGAGGCCCUGGGUUUGAUUCGUCAGCAUAUCCA